GGCCCACCGUGGCUUCGACGGGUAGCCGGCCUGAGAGGGCGACCGGCCACAUUGGGACUGAGAUACGGCCCAGACUCCUACGGGAGGCAGCAGUGGGGAAUAUUGCACAAUGGGCGCAAGCCUGAUGCAGCGACGCCGCGUGAGGGAUGGAGGCCUUCGGGUUGUAAACCUCUUUUAUCGGGGAGCAAGCGAGAGUGAGUUUACCCGUUGAAUAAGCACCGGCUAACUACGUGCCAGCAGCCGCGGUAAUACGUAGGGUGCAAGCGUUAUCCGGAAUUAUUGGGCGUGAAGGGCUCGUAGGCGGUUCGUCGCGUCCGGUGUGAAAGUCCAUCGCUUAACGGUGGAUCCGCGCCGGGUACGGGCGGGCUAGAGUGCGGUAGGGGAGACUGGAAUUCCCGGUGUAACGGUGGAAUGUGUAGAUAUCGGGAAGAACACCAAUGGCGAAGGCAGGUCUCUGGGCCGUUACUGACGCUGAGGAGCGAAAGCGUGGGGAGCGAACAGGAUUAGAUACCCUGGUAGUCCACGCCGUAAACGGUGGAUGCUGGAUGUGGGGCCCGUUCCACGGGUUCCGUGUCGGAGCUAACGCGUUAAGCAUCCCGCCUGGGGAGUACGGCCGCAAGGCUAAAACUCAAAGAAAUUGACGGGGGCCCGCACAAGCGGCGGAGCAUGCGGAUUAAUUCGAUGCAACGCGAAGAACCUUACCUGGGCUUGACAUGUUCCCGACGGUCGUAGAGAUACGGCUUCCCUUCGGGGCGGGUUCACAGGUGGUGCAUGGUCGUCGUCAGCUCGUGUCGUGAGAUGUUGGGUUAAGUCCCGCAACGAGCGCAACCCUCGCCCCGUGUUGCCAGCGGAUUAUGCCGGGAACUCACGGGGGACCGCCGGGGUUAACUCGGAGGAAGGUGGGGAUGACGUCAGAUCAUCAUGCCCCUUACGUCCAGGGCUUCACGCAUGCUACAAUGGCCGGUACAACGGGAUGCGACGCGGCGACGCGGAGCGGAUCUCUGAAAACCGGUCUCAGUUCGGAUCGCAGUCUGCAACUCGACUGCGUGAAGGCGGAGUCGCUAGUAAUCGCGAAUCAGCAACGUCGCGGUGAAUGCGUUCCCGGGCCUUGUACACACCGCCCGUCAAGUCAUGAAAGUGGGCAGCACCCGAAGCCGGUGGCCUAACCCCUUGUGGGAUGGAGCCGUCUAAGGUGAGGCUCGUGAUUGGGACUAAGUCGUAACAAGGUAGCCGUACCGGAAGGUGCGGCUG
rnacentral:rRNA from 1 species